UAGUUCAGUUGCAUCAGAUACCACCUCGG
rnacentral:piRNA from 1 species